UCGCUACUACUGAUUGAAUGGCUUACUGAGUUGGGGGGACACUGCCGUAGCAAUACGUGUCUGGUGGAGCCCACGCAAGCUUGGUCAUUUAGAAGAAGUAAAAGUCGUAA
rnacentral:rRNA from 1 species